UACGAAGGGAGCUAGCGUUGUUCGGAAUCACUGGGCGUAAAGCGCACGUAGGCGGAUGUGUCAGUCAGGGGUGAAAUCCCGGAGCUCAACUUCGGAACUGCCUUUGAUACAGCACGUCUUGAGUCCGAUAGAGGUGGGUGGAAUUCCUAGUGGUAGAGGUGAAAUGCGUAGAUAUCAGGAAGAACACCCGUGGCGAAGGCGGUUCUCUGGGACGGUACUGACGCUGAGACGCGAAAGCGUGGGGAGCGAACAGG
rnacentral:rRNA from 1 species